rnacentral:rRNA from 1 species
UACGUAGGGUGCGAGCGUUACUCGGAAUUACUGGGCGUAAAGCGUGCGCAGGCGGCGCACCAAGCUCGAUGUGAAAGCCCCGGGCUUAACCUGGGAACUGCGUUUGAAACUGGGAGGCUAGAGUGUGGAAGAGGGGGGUGGAAUUCCAGGUGUAGCAGUGAAAUGCGUAGAGAUCUGGAGGAACACCGAUGGCGAAGGCAGCCCCCUGGGCUAACACUGACGCUCAUGCACGAAAGCGUGGGGAGCAAACAGG